rnacentral:pre_miRNA from 1 species
UAUAUACUUCCUCCGUUCGGAAAUAAUUGUCCUAGAAAUAGAUGUAUCUAUACUUAUUUUAGUUAUAGAUACGUUAUAGAUACAUUCAUUUUAUACAUUUCUAGGACAAGUAUUUCCGGACGGAGGUAAUACAAU